AUUGAACGCUGGCGGCAGGCCUAACACAUGCAAGUCGAGCGGGGUUUUCGGACCUAGCGGCGGACGGGUGAGUAAUGCGUAGGAAGCUACCCGAUGGAGGGGGAUACCAGUUGGAAACGACUGUUAAUACCGCAUAAUGUCUACGGACCAAAGUGUGGGACCUUCGGGCCACAUGCUAUCGGAUGCGCCUACGUGGGAUUAGCUAGUUGGUGGGGUAAUGGCUCACCAGGCGACGAUCCCUAGCUGGUUUGAGAGGAUGAUCAGCCACACUGGAACUGAGACACGGUCCAGGCUCCUACGGGAGGCAGCAGUGGGGAAUAUUGGACAAUGGGCGCAAGCCUGAUCCAGCCAUGCCGCGUGUGUGAAGAAGGCCUUCGGGUUGUAAAGCACUUUCAGUAGGGAGGAAGGGUGUUGUGUUAAUAGCACAGCAUUUUGACGUUACCUACAGAAGAAGCACCGGCUAACUCUGUGCCAGCCGCCGCCGUAAAAC
rnacentral:rRNA from 1 species